ensembl:lncRNA
GUCGAUCUCGAGAUGCCUGAGCCCGCUCCUGCCCCUGGCUGAGGGUCUGGGGCUCCGGAGGCACGGCCGCGCGACCUCUUUUGCGCUUUGGUGGGGUCUCCGGGUUUUGUUUCCCAGAACCUUGGGACGGAGAUGAGAUUUGUGCGGCGGUGGGAAGCGAGAAGAUCGUUCCUUCCCCAAGGCUCGGGUCUGGGAGCGAGCGGUUGCUGCCAGGUUUUUCUCAGGCCCCUCAGGGGACAGUGGCAAUCCUCCCAGCCUCAAACCAAGGCCAGUGAUGCUUGGGUACCAGAAGUCCAACUGCAAGUUUCAGGAAAGGGCAGUCAAGCGGCGGAUUUCAAAAGGAAGCUAUCAGCCACUGCAGGUGAAAGCCAUAACGGUUUUCACAUUCUGAAAUUCAAAGCCUGCAUCUCAGUAUAAUGUUCCUG